UGCUGGGAGCCGCAGUCGUACUGACU
rnacentral:piRNA from 1 species